CGUUUAAAUUCGGGAUUGAACCAAAAUCGAUGUAUUAAUAAUACAUUGCUUUACCGUUAAGCUAUAUAAAC
rnacentral:tRNA from 1 species